rnacentral:sRNA from 1 species
GUAAUAUACCCCAAAAAUAUGUAAAGAAUAAUAAA